rnacentral:rRNA from 1 species
AGCGAACGCUGGCGGCAGGCCUAACACAUGCAAGUCGAACGAACCUUUCGGGGUUAGUGGCGGACGGGUGAGUAACACGUGGGAACGUGCCUUUAGGUUCGGAAUAACUCAGGGAAACUUGUGCUAAUACCGAAUGUGCCCUUCGGGGGAAAGAUUUAUCGCCUUUAGAGCGGCCCGCGUCUGAUUAGCUAGUUGGUUGAGGUAAUGGCUCACCAAGGCGACGAUCAGUAGCUGGUCUGAGAGGAUGAUCAGCCACAUUGGGACUGAGACACGGCCCAAACUCCCUCGGGAGGCAGCAGUGGGGAAUCUUGCGGAAUGGGCGAAAGCCUGACCCAGCCAUGCCGCGUGAAUGAUGAAGGGCUUAGGAUUGUAAAAUUCUUUCACCGGGGACGAUAAUGACGGUACCCGGAGAAGAAGCCCCGGCUAACUUCGUG